rnacentral:rRNA from 1 species
UAGGGAAUCUUCGGCAAUGGACGGAAGUCUGACCGAGCAACGCUGCGUGAGUGAAGAAGGUUUUCGGAUCGUAAAGCUCUGUUGUUAGAGAAGAACGUUGGUAGGAGUGGAAAAUCUACCAAGUGACGGUAACUAACCAGAAAGGGACGGCUAACUACGUGCCAGCAGCCGCGGUAAUACGUAGGUCCCGAGCGUUGUCCGGAUUUAUUGGGCGUAAAGCGAGCGCAGGCGGUUCUUUAAGUCUGAAGUUAAAGGCAGUGGCUUAACCAUUGUACGCUUUGGAAACUGGAGGACUUGAGUGCAGAAGGGGAGAGUGGAAUUCCAUGUGUAGCGGUGAAAUGCGUAGAUAUAUGGAGGAACACCGGUGGCGAAAGCGGCUCUCUGGUCUGUAACUGACGCUGAGGCUCGAAAGCGUGGGGAGCAAACAGG